AAAAGGCUCAUCAUCCAUUGGGGUUUUUAAAUUAUUAUUAAUUUUAUUAUUUUGCAGGGCUCUAAUUAGGUUGGCAGUGCUUAUCUGGCAUCCUCUUAUUGCCACAGGGCAGCAGCCAGCACCCCCAGUGACAGACCCAGUUGUGUAAGGCUCUUGUUUUCCUACAGCAAGGAGCAUUCUUUGUGUGCAAGUCUGAGGCUGUGUGUACACGUGUGUGAACUCUCCAAAGGCAAACAACUCACCUUUAGAAAGCCAAAUUCCAAGCAAGAAACGAGCUCAGCAGCUGUGAAAGGUGUCUCUGUGUUUCAUUGUUGAUAAAAGUACAACCCACAGUGACUCAAACCUCAGGAUAUGGUGGGGAACCAAGAAGAAAAGAAAGAGAGUGGGGAAGAAAGGGGAAAAAGCCUUCUCAGGAUGAGGAGUUCAGACAUGCCAGAUUUCUUUGGCACAGACAUUGCUGUCAGGAGCCUUGUGGAUGUUUGAGUCCCUGCUUUCUUUUUGUUGGCUCUGAGCAUUUUGAAAGAUUUUGAAAACAGUACUGUAAAGUGUUUAGCUGCAAAGCUGACCAGUGAGUGCCACAGCCAGCAUCUCCUACACAGGCUGACAGUGCAGGCAGAAACCUGUCACCUCAGGGCUGUCACCAAUCUGCCAUUAACCUGCAGCUCCUCACUGUGACAUAGAUGUCAAUGGUCAUUUUCCUUCACAUCAGCCUUUUCUUCAACUCCCAUGGGUAAGCACAGGGCAGCCACUGGAAGGGCAGUGAGAAAAGGAAAGGGAAAAGCUGGUCUGGAAGCUGAGCACUAAAAGUAGGCAUUGAUUUCCUAUCGUAGAGAUGACGUGUUUGAAUUUACUGAGCUCCUUUGGAUUGAAAGGCAUUUAUCCAGCCACAGGGACUGCCAGGUGUGCUGUGCUCAGAUGAAAUAAUACUUUAGCAUUGGUUCCAAGGCCCUGGAUUUGCCUCCACCAGCUCCAGCCAUCUGGCUCAGGCACAGCUUCUUUCUGAAGUGACUUGAAGCUUGGUGGCAUCAGAGUUCCUCCUGUGAUGCUGUCAGAAAUUUAGCUGUAGGAGCACAAGCUCAGGCACGAGGAAGGAACUAAACAAUCCUGUCACAGACAGCACCUAACUAACAGAACAGGUCUUUUUUUUCUACUGAACAUGUAUAUUCCUGACUUGCAGUGGAAGAGGAGUGUGGCUACAAGAUGUAUGGAGAGCAGAAUGCUGCAGGGAAUGAAAAAAAUAAGAAAUGGAGUAAAUGGAGGGAAGGCUGUAUGGGCUGGUCACCAGUGUAGGAUCUCCUGUCAGGUCUAUUGAGCUGACCGAGGCUGAUCCAGCACAGAGGUGCAGUGCCUGGUCCCCAGAGGAGAGCUCAGCCUGAGCCUCUGCAGCAGUGAGGAUUGCAUUCCUGCUGCUGGAAUACAGGAAUGCUGGAGAGCACCUAAGGAGAACAGGUGUUAUUGAUAGAUUUACACUGAUUUACAGUGCUCCCCCUCCUCCUCAGGCCACUGCAGAGGCCCUGGAGGCUCACACCUGCACAGAGAUGGGAGCCAAGGUGAGCUGCUCUGCAUCACCUGCACUGGUGAUGGUGAUGCUGACAGGAGUGGGAUUUCAGCAUCCCUGGGAGGAGUUUGCCUUUGAGAACAGCAGCUUGUGUCCUUUUAACUUCCAAAGAGGAGUCCUGUGAGCUCUGAGUGUCUGGAAAGGACCAGAUCCAGGAAUAACUGCAGUGGUACCAAGAACCUCAGCAGGCACUGACACCUGACCCAUGCCAUGCCUUGUGGGGUUUGAUCUCUGGUGGCUCAGAGAUGCCACAGCAGCCUGCAGGGUGUCACACACAGCUCCUCUGGGCACAGGGAGAAGCCACAGUUAAGUGAUUUCCAUAGGAACAAAGCAGUCCCUUGCUGUGAUGCAACUGCCUCUGGGUUUAAACAUUUCUGGUUAACUCCAGCUCAGAUGCAAAGCAGAUCUGUUUCUUAGACAAAAAAGGAAAAUCAAGAGAGAAGAAUUGGAUGGAGGGGAAGAAUUUGAUUUGUGAGGGCUCUUUUCAGAAAGUACCAUGAGAUCUUAAAGAAGGCAGCAGGAUUAGAGCUCCUAUUGCUUGUGAAUUGCCUGAACUGCAUGAGUGAGCUUUAAGGAGAGCAGUAAUGAAGAAAUAAAACAGCUUACAAGCUACACCAGCCCUGGAAAAUAGGAGCAUUUCACAAAUGGCUUCAUCUUCUUUGACUGGUGAUACCCAACAGAUAUUUUGUGAGAAAUAAAAUGCACUUCACAGCUCUCUCUGGCACGUGCUAUAAUUGCAAUCAACAUUUCUGUGUAUCAUAAAAAUGAUGAAGAUGAUGAUGAUGGCCACUGUUUCCCUCCUCUUUGCUGCAAGAAAAGAGCUGACUGCAACAGGAUGUGCUGUUUUCUGUCUAUGUGCACUUUGCUUUCUCAACAGAAAAGACAAAAAAAAAAAAGGGAAAACAAAAACUGAAGACUGAAAAUGGAAGAAAACAAAACAGAUCUUGGUGCUUGUGUUUCUUUGCACUGGGAGAGAAAGAAAUGAGAGUUAAAAUAUCUAGAUUUUAUAAAGAUACAAUGAAAACUCGAUAACAAAUCCAUAACAAAUAUCACUGAUAAUGUACAAAAUGAUAAAAUCACAUUUUCAUGCUCUUUUUGGGUUGUUUUAUUUGUUCAUACUGCCAAUCACUUCCUCUUUGAGGGAGGAAGGUAAACAGAGACACCAGAUAAAUGGCUUGAGGUGGCUAGAAAUGGCAAAAGCAAAAAUAAUGAUAGCUCAGAGUGUCUCCUUAUGGAGCUUGUGCUCCAGCUCAUGCUGAUGGAAUUAAUUAUUAUAUUGUGGAUCUUGCUUGUCAAGCACAGGAGUUCUCCUUGCCCCAGAGCUGUGUAGCUCAACCCCAGCCAUGGAACUAAAUUGGCAAACUCCUCACAAUUACUUGAGGAGUAAGAAUUUGGUCAAAGGUACAGGUGAAAAGGCUGGAUGGGCUGAUGAAAGGUAUUCCCCAAAUGAAGGAAAUCCUGUCCAGAUGAAGAGGUCACCUCAUCUGCAAGCCUGAGGCACUGCAGGGAUAAUAAUCCCCAGGUUCAAGCGUUAACGGGAGAAUAAAAGACAAAUGGAGCCAUUUGUCAUUUAUUUCCAAAUAAAUGCAAGUUCAUUUUG